UCCCAGCUUGCUGGGGGAUUAGUGGCGAACGGGUGAGUAACACGUGAGUAACCUGCCCUUAACUCUGGGAUAAGCCUGGGAAACUGGGUCUAAUACCGGAUAUGACUCCUCAUCGCAUGGUGGGGGGUGGAAAGCUUUUUUGUGGUUUUGGAUGGACUCGCGGCCUAUCAGCUUGUUGGUGAGGUAAUGGCUCACCAAGGCGACGACGGGUAGCCGGCCUGAGAGGGUGACCGGCCACACUGGGACUGAGACACGGCCCAGACUCCUACGGGAGGCAGCAGUGGGGAAUAUUGCACAAUGGGCGCAAGCCUGAUGCAGCGACGCCGCGUGAGGGAUGACGGCCUUCGGGUUGUAAACCUCUUUCAGUAGGGAAGAAGCGAAAGUGACGGUACCUGCAGAAGAAGCGCCGGCUAACUACGUGCCAGCAGCCGCGGUAAUACGUAGGGCGCAAGCGUUAUCCGGAAUUAUUGGGCGUAAAGAGCUCGUAGGCGGUUUGUCGCGUCUGCCGUGAAAGUCCGGGGCUCAACUCCGGAUCUGCGGUGGGUACGGGCAGACUAGAGUGAUGUAGGGGAGACUGGAAUUCCUGGUGUAGCGGUGAAAUGCGCAGAUAUCAGGAGGAACACCGAUGGCGAAGGCAGGUCUCUGGGCAUUAACUGACGCUGAGGAGCGAAAGCAUGGGGAGCGAACAGGAUUAGAUACCCUGGUAGUCCAUGCCGUAAACGUUGGGCACUAGGUGUGGGGGACAUUCC
rnacentral:rRNA from 1 species